rnacentral:tRNA from 1 species
GAUAUGGCUCAGUGGUUAAGAGCACUUGUUGCUUUCCCAGAGGACCUGGGUUCAAUUCCCAGCAUC